rfam:Oryza sativa (indica cultivar-group) chromosome 8, whole genome shotgun sequence.
UUUCAGAAGAAAAACCGUGUCCAAUGUUUGACCAUCCGUCUUAUUUUAAAAAAAUAUGAAAAAAUUAAAAAUAUAAAUCACGCAUAAAGUAUUAAUCAUGUUUUAUCAUCUAACAACAAUGAAAAUACUAAUUAUAAAAAAAUUUCAUAUAAGAUGGACAGUCAAACGUUGAACACGGAAACCCAAGGUUUGUCUUUUU